rnacentral:rRNA from 1 species
UUACCCACUCCCGGCACGGGGAGGUAGUGACGAAAAAUAACGAUACGGGACUCAUCCGAGGCCCCGUAAUCGGAAUGAGUACACUCUAAACCCUUUAACGAGGAUCAAUUGGAGGGCAAGUCUGGUGCCAGCAGCCGCGGUAAUUCCAGCUCCAAUAGCGUAUAUUAAAGUUGUUGCGGUUAAAAAGCUCGUAGUCGAAUUUGUGUCUCGUGCCGCUGGUUCAUCGUCCGCGGUGUUAACUGGCGAGUCGCGAGACGUCCUGCCGGUGGGCUUAGCUCGCAAGGGCGGCCCAACUCAAUCCUGCCGCGGUGCUCUUCACUGAGUGUCGAGGUGGGCCGGCACGUUUACUUUGAACAAAUUAGAGUGCUUAAAGCAGGCUAAAACUUCGCCUGAAUACUGUGUGCAUGGAAUAAUGGAAUAGGACCUCGGUUCUAUUUUGUUGGUUUUCGGAACCCCGAGGUAAUGAUUAAUAGGAACGGAUGGGGGCAUUCGUAUUGCGACGUUAGAGGUGAAAUUCUUGGAUCGUCGCAAGACGGACAGAAGCGAAAGCAUUUGCCAAAAACGCUUUCAUUGAUCAAGAACGAAAGUUAGAGGUUCGAAGGCGAUCAGAUACCGCCCUAGUUCUAACCAUAAACGAUGCCAGCUAGCGAUCCGUCGACGUUCCUCCGAUGACUCGACGGGCAGCUUCCGGGAAACCAAAGCUUUUGGGUUCCGGGGGAAGUAUGGUUGCAAAGCUGAAACUUAAAGGAAUUGACGGAAGGGCACCACCAGGAGUGGAGCCUGCGGCUUAAUUUGACUCAACACGGGAAACCUCACCAGGCCCGGACACCGGAAGGAUUGACAGAUUGAGAGCUCUUUCUUGAUUCGGUGGGUGGUGGUGCAUGGUCGUUCUUAGUUGGUGGAGCGAUUUGUCUGGUUAAUUCCGAUAACGAACGAGACUCUAGCCUGCUAACUAGGCGUAUUUNGACAUCCUAAAGGCCCGCCGGCUUGGGG